CACACGACUCUCGGCAACGGAUAUCUCGGCUCUCGCAUCGAUGAAGAACGUAGCAAAAUGCGAUACCUGGUGUGAAUUGCAGAAUCCCGCGAACCAUCGAGUUUUUGAACGCAAGUUGCGCCCGAGGCCUUCUAGCCGAGGGCACGUCUGCCUGGGCGUCACGC
rnacentral:rRNA from 1 species